CUCAGGAGUCCCAGUCCAUCGUCUUAUCCUUUGAGCUAUUUGGACACACAGGGUGAUUCCGGGUUUUUCCUAUUUAACUCUCAUUUCUAGACACUAGACUUUAAAUUUCACCUCGACCUGAAUAAGGUAAGGAUCGAACCCACGACCUCAGGAGUCCCAGUCCAUCGUCUUAUCCGCUGAGCUAUUUGGACACACAGGGUACUUCCGGGUUUUUCCUAUUUAACUCUCAUUUCUAGACACUAGACUUUAAAUUUCACCUCAACCUGAAUAAGGUAAGGAUCGAGCUUCUUAUCCUCUGAGCCAUGUGGACACUAAAGAGGAUCCUGUUUGUGAAAGAUUCUCACUCUCCUCUCCUCUCCACACUGGACUUUAAAAUUCACCAGGACCUGGAUAAGGGUUCCAACCUUCAAUGUCAGGAGUCUAAAUAAGUCUUUUCCUCUCUGAGCCACAGAGACAGGUACAGGUCAAGGUUUUUAAAAGGAUCUGACUUCUUUGCUGUCAAAACUCUGGAGAACGCUGUGAAGAAAUCCAAGGAGGGACUUCUACAUGAGACGUGAAGCUACUCCCUCCCUCUCUUCCUUAAUUGAUCUAAACUAUUUAAAAUUAACUGCUGUAUACAAAUGUCAUUGUAUAGUAUAAUUUUUAAAAAAAGUCAUAGUAUAGUAUGAAAAAAAUCUCAUAAUACAGUAUGAUAUAAAAAGUGUCAUAGAAAGUUAUAGUUAAGUAUGAUAAAA